rnacentral:rRNA from 1 species
GCCGCGUGCAUGAUGACGGUCCUAUGGAUUGUAAACUGCUUUUGUACGAAAAAAAACACUCCUAUGUAUAUGAUCUUGACUGUAUCGUACCAAUAAGGAUCGGCUAACUCCGUGCCAGCCCCCGCGGUAAUACGGAGGAUCCAAGCGUUAUCCGGAAUCAUUGGGUUUAAAGGGUCCGUAUGCGGUUUAAUAACUCAGUGGUGAAAGCCCAUCCCUCAACGGUGGAACGGCCAUUGAUACUGUUAAACUUGAAUUAUUAGGAAAUAACUAGAAUAUGUAUUGUAGCGUUGAAAUGAUUAGAGAUUACAUGGAAAACCACUUGCGAAGGCAGGUUACUACUAAGGGAUUGACGCUAAUGGACGAAAGCGUGGGUAGCGAACAGGAUUAGAUACCCUGGUAGUCCACGCCGUAAACGAUGGAUACUAUGCUGUUGGGAGCAAUCUCAGUGGCUAAGCGAAAGUGAUAAGUAUCCCACCUGGGGAGUACGUUCGCAAGAAUGAAACUCAAAGGAAUUGACGGGAGCCCGCACAAGCGGUGGAGCAUGUGGUUUAAUUCGAUGAUACUCGAGGAACCUUACCAAGGCUUAAAUGUAGAUUGACCGGUCUGGAAAC